rnacentral:rRNA from 1 species
UGACGGUACCCUACUAGAAAGGAGCCGCUAACUUCGUGCCAGAAGCGUCGGUAAUACGGGGGCUCCAAGCGUUAUCCGGUGUUAUUGGGCGUAAAGAGUCGUGUAGGUGGUUGGGUAAGUUAUCUUUCAAAUAUCUUUGCUUAACAAAGAGGAGGGGGAUAAUACUGCUCGACUAGAAUUUUCUCAAGGGAGAUCGGAACUGAGGGAGGAGUAGUGAAAUGCGUUGAUACCCUCGGGAACACCAGUGGCGUAGGCGGAUCUCUGGGAGAAGAUUGACACUGAGACACGAAAGCUAGGGGAGCGAAGCAGAUUAGAGACCUGCGUAGUCCUAGCCGUAAACGCAUGCUUGCUAGCUGCAUGAAUCUACCUUCGGGUGGUAUCGUGUGGCGAAGGUAACCCGUUAAGCAAGCCGCCUGGAAAGUACGGCCGCAAGGCUGAAAUUCAAAGGAAUUGGCGGGGAGGCACACAACCAGUGGAACAUGUGGUUUAAUUCGAGACUAACCGAAGAACCUCACCAGGGUUUGACAUGUAGCUGCACGUCUUAAGAAAUUAAGACUCUCUUGAAGGUGCUACACAGGUGCUGCAUGGCUGUCGUCAGCUCGUUCCGUGAGGAGUGCCCUUAAGUGGGACAACGAGCGCAACCCCUAUUACAUGUUAGAAAUGUCAUGUAAGACUGCCUUGCCAUUUGGCGGGGAGGAAGGAGGGGCAGACGUCAAGUCCGCAUGGUCCUUAUGACCUGGGCUACACACAUGUUACAAUGAGUACGGCAAUGAGUCUGUCGCGAGCACGUAAGUGUAAGCUAAUCUCUUAAAUGUACUCUCAGUGGGGAUUGAGGUCUGCAACUCGACCUCAUGAACACGGAAUUGCUAGUAAUCGCGGGUCAGCUAUACCGCGGUGAUACGUUCUUGCCUCUUGCACACACCGCCCGUCAAACCAGCAAAGUCGAUUGUAUCCGAACCU